GGUCCUAUAGCUCAGCUUGGUUAGAGCGUCGUACUAAUAUUAUGGCACACCACCGUGCUGUAACAUUGGUGAUGCGAAGGUCGUGAGUUCAAUCCUCACUGGGACCA